UUUCUUACUCAUUUACUACAAAACCAGAUCAGUAUCUUACAUGCAAUGCAUCUUUCAGGUGAGUGGCUCCUACAUUUCUCCCAAAGCCUUCGGUCGAGAUUUCCUGACCCAUUGAAGGUAUGGCAUUAAGCAUAAAUAUCUGUUGCAAUAUUUGCAUCCUCAGAAUGCUUCAGCAGCUCUCAUAUGAAGAGAAGGGCAAAAUGGAUGAUUUCACAGUGCCAUCGCUGAUGAGGGAUGGCCAUGGAGUCAUCAAGAACACGUGAAUCAUCGUCAUCAUCAUCAUCAACCUCCUUCAGCCGGAACAGAAUUGGCAAUAUCAUCUUUUGAGGGUAUGUGCUUAUGUAUACAACCAUAGCCAAUGCGUUGGACUUGAGAUCAGACAAAAAAAACAAGUUUCAUGCGUCAGAACCCUAAUCACUGUGGCCUCAUUUCUUCAAUGCGUUACCAAAAAGGACUACAAGCCUCGUUUCAUACUUUUCCCAUUUGGGAACUUAAACUGUAUAUUGUAUCAGUGAGAUCCAAUAGGAACCCUGCGGUUUUCUGUCAUGUUGUACUAUUGCCACUUGUUUGAGAAUACGACACAAGAGCCAAUAGUACUGUGGCCUUCACGAUCUGUCAAUCUGGUUUUUACCCUACAUUAAGUGCAAGAUUUCAAGAAGGCUUUUAAUAUAUGCUCCCCAUGUUGCUUAGACCUCUGAGUUCACCAAUGAGGACCAGAUUGGGAAGAUCUGGAAACAGAGUUCUCUUGCAUAAAAUAUGCAGCAGUGUGGCUUCCCUGAUUGCAUUGGAAAAGGAAGUCUUUGCAAGGUAAAGCUCAGUUUCUGCUGCAAGUUCAUUUGAAUAUGAAGAACUCUUGCAGGUAUUGGGAAGACAGUGCCAACACACACAUUUAGGGUCUGGGUUUUCACCUGGUGCUGUCUCUUCUGUUGAUCAGUACACUGCUUGGCUCUAAGCUCGUAGAAUAGUAAACAUUUGUACGACACAUUGAGAUCAUGCACAAGUGUUUGCUGUGACAAAAUAAUGCACUAUUGAUGAAUGCCUGCAGACACACCACAAUUGCUCUUUUGUACAUUUA